rnacentral:rRNA from 1 species
AGUGAACGCUGGCGGUAUGCCUAACACAUGCAAGUCGAACGGCAGCACAGUAAGCGCUUGCUCUUACGGGUGGCGAGUGACGGGCGGGUGAGGAGUACAUCGGAAUCUUCUUUUUCGUGGGUGAUAACGGGGGGCAACUUACGCUAAUACCGCAUAUGUCCUACGGGUGAAAGCAGUAGAUCUUCGGACCUUUCCCGAUUGUAUGAGACGAUUUCGGAUUGGCUAGGUGGGUAGGUAAAGGCUCACCAAGGCAACGAUGCGUAGCCGACCUGAGAGGAUGAUCGGCCACACUGGAACUGAGACACGGUCCAGACUCCUACGGGAGGCAGCAGUAGGGAAUCUUCCGCAAUGGGCGAAAGCCUGACGGAGCAACGCCGCGUGAGUGAAGAAGGUCUUCGGAUCGUAAAACGCUGUUAUUAGGGAAGAACAAAUGUGUAAGUAACUAUGCACGUCUUGACGGUACCUAAUCAGAAAGCCACGGCUAACUACGUG